GUGAAUCCCUUGGCUCAACCAAGGAAGGGCAUUUGAAACUGUCUGGCCUGAGUACGGGAGGGGGAAGUGGAAUUCCCGGUGUAGAGGUGAAAUUCGUAGAUAUGGGGAGGAACACCGGUGGCGAAGGCGACCAUCUGGACGGAUACUGACGCUGAGACGCGAAAGCGUGGGGAGCAAACAGGAUUAGAUACCCUGGUAGUCCACGCCUUAAACGUUGGGCACUAGGUGUUGUGGGUAUUGACCCCUGCAGUGCCAAGGGCGAAUUCCACAGUGGAUA
rnacentral:rRNA from 1 species